rnacentral:rRNA from 1 species
GACUUGACCUCGGAUCAGGUAGGGAUACCCGCUGAACUUAAGCAUAUCAAUAAGCGGAGGAAAAGAAACCAACAGGGAUUGCCCUAGUAACGGCGAGUGAAGCGGCAAUAGCUCAAAUUUGAAAUCUGGCUCCUUUUAGGGGUCCGAGUUGUAAUUUGCAGAGGGUGCUUUGGCGUUGGUAGCGGUCUAAGUUCCUUGGAACAGGACAUCGUAGAGGGUGAGAAUCCCGUUUGUGGUCGCAUGCCUUCGCCGUGUAAAGCCCCUUCGACGAGCCGAGUUGUUUGGGAAUGCAGCUCUAAAUGGGAGGUAAAUUUCUUCUAAAGCUAAAUACUGGCCAGAGACCGAUAGCGCACAAGUAGAGUGAUCGAAAGAUGAAAAGCACUUUGGAAAGAGAGUCAAACAGCACGUGAAAUUGUUGAAAGGGAAGCGCUUGCAGCCAGACUUGCCCGUAGUUGCUCACCUAGGCUUUUGCCUGGGGCAUUCUUCUGCGGGCAGGCCAGCAUCAGUUUGGGCGGUCGGAUAAAGGUCUCUGUCAUGUAGCUUCCUUCGGGAAGAACUUAUAGGGGAGACGAAAUGCGACCGGCCCGGACUGAGGUCCGCGCUUCUGCUAGGAUGCUGACGUAAUGGCUGUAAGCGGCCCGUCUUGAAACACGGACCAAGGAGUCUAACAUCUAUGCGAGUGUUUGGGUGUCAAGCCCGAGCGCGUAAUGAAAGUGAACGGAGGUGGGAACCCUUUGGGUGCACCAUCGACCGAUCCUGAUGUCUUCGGAUGGAUUUGAGUAAGAGCAUAGCUGUUGGGACCCGAAAGAUGGUGAACUAUGCUUGAAUAGGGUGAAGCCAGAGGAAACUCUGGUGGAGGCUCGCAGCGGUUCUGACGUGCAAAUCGAUCGUCAAAUUUGGGCAUAGGGGCGAAAGACUAAUCGAACUAUCUAGUAGCUGGUUCCUGCCGAAAUUUUCCCUCAGGAU